CUCCUUCCGGGAAUCCUUCCAGGUUCCUCGUUGGCAUUGGCUUGGCUGUUCUUCUGCAAGUCGACAGCACAUCCCAGGUUCUGAAAGAAGGCAAAGAAAUGGAGGGUUCCUUGGAACAGGACAUUAAGAAGCAAAUUAUUCUGGGCAUAAGAGCUAUUGAGCCACCCGAGGAUGAAGAACAAACAGCGGAUAUUGAUCCCGGAAUGAGGCUGUUGUCUAGUGACGCACAAGGCGGAAGAGCUCCCAGGAGUGCUGGAGACCCGCCAGCCCCGCUGGGUGCCAAGUCUGCAGCAGUGCCGGAGGAAGACCGAGACCACAUCUACC